UAUUAAGCAUUGCACCAAAAAUAAAAGACUUAUUAUAGAAAAAAGGGAAAAUAAAAAUCUAAGCAGAUUGAAUAUAUAAAUGGAAAAGAAAAGGAUAAGCCACAUGCACAAAAUAACUGGUUUAGAGACUAAAAGGUAAUUCAAAAAAAUUGACAACAUCACCCACACGAAAACAAGGUGGCUUCUAGGGUGAGGGCUCAACUAAGUCCAUCACCGGUGUUGCAGUAAAAUUUUACAGUUAGAUUUACUCAAUCCGCCAGAUUUGAUGAAAAAAAGAGAGAAUAUAUAAACAUUUUUACACACAAUUUUGCCCCUUUUUCCUAUCUAUUUGACGGUUGCAUCUCUGUAAUGUUUCACUGGUGAAAUUUCACAAGUACAGUUACAACUGCUUUGAAAAAAGAAAACACCAAGGAUAAAGAUAGAACGAUGGAUAACGUUGAAGUUAGAAAAGAGUAUAAA
rnacentral:lncRNA from 1 species